rnacentral:sRNA from 5 species
UGUAUCUGAAGCCUGACGAGGAUGAGAACCUCCGGGGGUAAGAGGUUCGACUCGAGCGAAGCGAGAGAACGUUGCGCCAGCAACGGCCCGCAGGGCGAGCCAUCCUCUAUCACCGGCAG